rnacentral:tRNA from 1 species
GUGCUUGUGGUGUAGUGGUCAUCACAUCAGCCUAACACGCGGAAGGUCCCAGGUUCGAUCCCUGGCAGGCACA